GACGAACGCUGGCGGCGUGCUUAACACAUGCAAGUCGAACGGAAAGGCCCUGCUUUUGUGGGGUGCUCGAGUGGCGAACGGGUGAGUAACACGUGAGUAACCUGCCCUUGACUUUGGGAUAACUUCAGGAAACUGGGGCUAAUACCGGAUAGGAGCUCCUGCUGCAUGGUGGGGGUUGGAAAGUUUCGGCGGUUGGGGAUGGACUCGCGGCUUAUCAGCUUGUUGGUGGGGUAGUGGCUUACCAAGGCUUUGACGGGUAGCCGGCCUGAGAGGGUGACCGGCCACAUUGGGACUGAGAUACGGCCCAGACUCCUACGGGAGGCAGCAGUGGGGAAUAUUGCACAAUGGGCGGAAGCCUGAUGCAGCAACGCCGCGUGCGGGAUGACGGCCUUCGGGUUGUAAACCGCUUUCGCCUGUGACGAAGCGUGAGUGACGGUAAUGGGUAAAGAAGCACCGGCUAACUACGUGCCAGCAGCCGCGGUGAUACGUAGGGUGCGAGCGUUGUCCGGAUUUAUUGGGCGUAAAGGGCUCGUAGGUGGUUGAUCGCGUCGGAAGUGUAAUCUUGGGGCUUAACCCUGAGCGUGCUUUCGAUACGGGUUGACUUGAGGAAGGUAGGGGAGAAUGGAAUUCCUGGUGGAGCGGUGGAAUGCGCAGAUAUCAGGAGGAACACCAGUGGCGAAGGCGGUUCUCUGGGCCUUUCCUGACGCUGAGGAGCGAAAGCGUGGGGAGCGAACAGGCUUAGAUACCCUGGUAGUCCACGCUGUAAACGGUGGGUACUAGGUGUGGGGUCCAUUCCACGGGUUCCGUGCCGUAGCUAACGCUUUAAGUACCCCGCCUGGGGAGUACGGCCGCAAGGCUAAAACUCAAAGGAAUUGACGGGGCCCCGCACAAGCGGCGGAGCAUGCGGAUUAAUUCGAUGCAACGCGUAGAACCUUACCUGGGUUUGACAUGGAUCGGGAGCGCUCAGAGAUGGGUGUGCCUCUUUUGGGGUCGGUUCACAGGUGGUGCAUGGCUGUCGUCAGCUCGUGUCGUGAGAUGUUGGGUUAAGUCCCGCAACGAGCGCAACCCUUGUUCACUGUUGCCAGCACGUUAUGGUGGGGACUCAGUGGAGACCGCCGGGGUCAACUCGGAGGAAGGUGGGGAUGACGUCAAGUCAUCAUGCCCCUUAUGUCCAGGGCUUCACGCAUGCUACAAUGGCUGGUACAGAGAGUGGCGAGCCUGUGAGGGUGAGUGAAUCUCGGAAAGCCGGUCUCAGUUCGGAUUGGGGUCUGCAACUCGACCUCAUGAAGUCGGAGUCGCUAGUAAUCGCAGAUCAGCAACGCUGCGGUGAAUACGUUCCCGGG
rnacentral:rRNA from 1 species